AAUCUGAAAAUAUGAUUAAAGAGUCACAGUGUGCAACCAUAGCUGCUACAUAACUGCUCUUAACUCUGAAAAUGCCAAAGAGCUCACACAAGUCAUCACAAUCACGAUUAACUCUAAGAAACAAAACAAAAAACCAAAGAGCUAAGAGUGGUUAUGAGCCAACAAGUUUUCUGUAUUCUUUUGGAGAAGAGAAACUAGACACUGGCCUCCUCUGGGAGGAAGUGGCUUUCUUGAAGCCAAAUCUUAAUACAUACAGCAAUGGCCGAGGAGUAGACUGUGGCCCUGACACUGCAACAAUAAGGCAAGUUUGCUUCACAGCAGGGCUUCAUGAUGGGACAGGAACUACAGGUGUUUGUCCAAGCUCAGGUACCACCUCGUAUGAAACAAUUCUGGGAUUUUGCUGCAGCUAUGUUCAUCUAGAAGGUCUUAAGAAGAUGCAGAGCAGCCUGAAGCUGGUAGACUGUAUCAUUGAAGUGCACGAUGCUCGGAUUCCAUUAUCUGGUCGCAAUCCUUUAUUCCAGGAAACUCUUGGAAUUAAACCUCACCUGCUUGUACUUAACAAAAUGGAUUUGGCAGAUCUUAAAGAGAAACAGAAAAUUUUGGGGCGUCUGAACAAAGAAGGAGUGAAAAAUGUAAUUUUUACCAAUUGUUUAAAGGACGAAAACAUAAAACAGAUUGUUCCAACGGUUACUGAACUGAUUGAAAGUGGCUACCGCUAUCAUCGAGGAGAGAACCUGGAGUACUGUAUCAUGGUGAUUGGUGUGCCCAAUGUGGGCAAAUCCUCACUCAUCAACUCACUCAGGAGGCAGCAUCUUAAAAAAGGAAAAGCCUCUCGAGUGGGGGGUGAUCCUGGAAUAACGAGAGCAGUUAUGUCCAAAAUUCAGCCAGGUGUGUGAACGGCCUUUGAUGUUCCUGUUGGAUACUCCUGGUGUGCUUGCUCCACGGAUCCCGGAUGUAGAGACAGGACUGAAACUCGCCACUUGUGGAACUAUAUUGGACCAUUUGGUAGGAGAAGAUAUUAUUGCUGAUUAUCUUCUUUUCUCACUUAAUAAGCAGCAGCAGUUCCGGUAUGUGGAGCAUUAUGACCUGGGGGAAGCAUGUGAUGACAUAGGAAGUGUGCUGAAGAGGAUUGCCAUAAAACUCAAGAAGAUUCACAAAGUGAAAGUGCUCACAGGGACUGGUGAUGUUAAUGUCAUUCAGCCUAACUAUUCUGCAGCAGCCUAUGACUUCAUUCGAAGCUUCCGCAAUGGGUUACUGGGUCAAGUGAUGUUCGACACAGCUAUUCUGGAAGAGCCCCAGGAAAACACAGUUCUGCCUCCUGAGUGAGCAGGGAACAUUCUUUUUUUGCUCCUACUCUUGGAGUGACUCAGGCGAGUCACUCGGCUUGUUUAGGUUCAAUUUCCUUAUCUGUAAAAUGAGGGAGUUGGAAUAGGUGAUUUUGGAAUAGAGGUCUCUUCUAGCUCUCAAGGUGAAACUUUGAAACCAAAGUCCAAGAAGUAGCUGCUGUCUUGGUGGGGGCAGCAACAUCAGAGGAUUUGGCAUUGAUUUUCAUAAUAUCUUGGCAGAAUAAUAAAGUAUAGUUUAUGAUUUCUCCCUAAAUCAAUGACAAAUAUAUUCUCAGGCCUAGGAUCCAUGUAGUGGGCUAAUCAUUGAGUCUCCUUCAGAUACUGUGUGUAUUCCUACAGGAACUCUUUAUCCUUUUUCUAUUUGGAUAAUAAAGGAAUUUUAAAAGUAAAAACAAA